rnacentral:rRNA from 1 species
GAUGAACGCUGGCGGCGUGCCUAAUACAUGCAAGUCGAGCGAACGGACGAGAAGCUUGCUUCUCUGAUGUUAGCGGCGGACGGGUGAGUAACACGUGGAUAACCUACCUAUAAGACUGGGAUAACUUCGGGAAACCGGAGCUAAUACCGGAUAAUAUUUUGAACCGCAUGGUUCAAAAGUGAAAGACGGUCUUGCUGUCACUUAUAGAUGGAUCCGCGCUGCAUUAGCUAGUUGGUAAGGUAACGGCUUACCAAGGCAACGAUGCAUAGCCGACCUGAGAGGGUGAUCGGCCACACUGGAACUGAGACACGGUCCAGACUCCUACGGGAGGCAGCAGUAGGGAAUCUUCGGCAAAGGGCGAAAGCCUGACGGAGCAACGCCGCGUGAGUGAUGAAGGUCUUCGGAUCGUAAAACUCUGUUAUUAGGGAAGAACAUAUGUGUAAGUAACUGUGCACAUCUUGACGGUACCUAAUCAGAAAGCCACGGCUAACUACGUG